UCCACGUCACUGUCUCUCUACCUCCUCUCCUCUCUCUGACGAAGUAUCUGUCUGUCUUUUAGGGGACUGCUGGAAUUCUAGGUCUGAAGGCGGCUCCAGGUGGCACAGUAAGAUGUAUAUAAUUAUUCUCUUGUUUAUUAAACAGGAGUGACAUCUUUAGAGAGGAGUGAGGCUCUGUUCUAUGAAUCCUAUCUGAGCAGAUCUGACUUUUCCUAUAGGGCUUCAGAGGACUAGAUGGAGACAAAGGAGAUGCUGGACCCAAAGGAGACAGGGUAGAGACUUGAUUAUGGGUUUGGAUGCAGUAGUACAAGAAUCAUGACUAUCACAAAGGCCAUGUUCAUGAAGAUCUCAUUAAAAUAAAAAUGGUUGUGAAAACCUUCAUAUUAUAUGGUGUUUUGAUACCAUUAGUAUUUUUUUCCUCAGGGUUCUGUUGGUGCAUCAGGGAUCCUAGGCCGUCAGGGUGAGAGGGGUCAGAGUGGCCUCUCAGGCCUUCCUGGUGUCAGAGGUCAAGCUGGCCCCCAAGGCAUUCCGGGUGAAGAUGGAGAGGUCGGCCUCCAAGGAGUGGUUGGAAAGGAGGGGUCAAAGGGCCACAGGGGAACUCCAGGCCAUAAUGGGAAAUCAGGACCUAAAGGACCCAGGGGUCGUACUGGACAGCCUGGUCUUUUUGGUAUACCUGGAAUCCUGGUAAGAGAACAGUAUUCAUUCUCAAAUGAGUAUUACUUGACAGACAAUCCUUGAUGGAUAAUGUAGCUAUAGUAACAAUCAGCUGUCCUUGUUGUGUGUGGUAUGUAUGCCAGACGUGUUUGUGUCUAUGUCUGUGUGUUAUGUUGCAGGGUUUUAGAGGCCUGAUUGGGACUGAGGGUGCAGAAGGAAAGCCUGGUACACAGGUUCCCAUUUUAUAACUUUUAAUUUUUUUAAAUAUCACUUAUUAGAAUUUUCUACUGACUCCUUUUUGUCUACUGUGCAUUGUCAAUGCAGUUCCUUGAACAGGUACUAACCCAGCGGUUUCAAUCAUUAUUGAUAAGUAGGUUUCAGGAUAAGUUCUGUGUACAGAUAGAUAGAUAGAUAGAUAGAUAGAUAGAUAGAUAGAUAGAUAGAUAGAUAGAUAGAUAGAUAGAUAGAUAGAUAGAUAGAUAGAUCGAUAGUAGAUAGAUAGAUAGGAUAGAUAGAUUGAUAGAUAGAUAGAAUAGAUAGAUAGAUAGAUAGAUAGAUAGAUAGAUAAGAUAGAUAGAUAGAUAGAUAGAUAGAUAGAUAGAUAGAUAGAUAGAUAGAUAGAUAGAUAGUAGGAUCUUAAUUUGUUCAUUCUUUUGUUGCAGAGAACUUUCCUGCACAACAGAAAAUGCAAAAUUGUAGUGUCUUUGAGUUUUAAAAUGUCCACUUUCAAAUGUCAGACUUGAUUUGCCCCUACAAAAAUGUCCAUUAAUUAUAAUCCACAUAAUUCAAAUUUCCCUUUGCUGCAGGAUUAUUUUCCUGCUGUAGAAAACUAACUAAAAUUAAGAUCCUACAUCUGUACAGAAAAUAAAUGUAUGGCAUGAUAAAAACAAUAUGUGUAAUGUUUGUGUUGUUGUGUGUGAUUGUAGGGUGAGCUUGGUUCUGCUGGUAUUCCUGGAACUAAAGGACACAGAGUGAGUCAAACCCCUUUAACCAAUCAGCUCUAAACAAGUAAAAGUCAACAGUGAAAAGAAAAGAAACACAAAUGGCUCAAUCAUUGCUGAACUCUCAUAAACCAUAGCAAUAAAGAGAGGUAUGAUUGGUUGUUUUUCAGAUGAUCCUCCUUAGACACAGAUAUAACAGCUUGCCUGUGGGCCUGUGGUGGCUAUUGCUGUCCCAGCUCUCCUGUUUAUAUGACCACCUACAUGUCAGACAAAUAAGACUAGAUAGUUUACCAGUAAAGAGGUUUACAAGGCCCUGAUCAUCCCCAGGGGUUUGUAGGCUCAGUCAGUCAGUGUCUUUGUAAGACACAUUCAGCAUGGCACAGCCAGGGAUGAUCUGAGGUCCUCAACACUGCUUUGUAAAGUCUUGAUACGUGAUGCUGGUAGGGCACAUUGAAUUAGGGUAUACAUUGUUGCUACAGUACAUGGUCGUAUAUUCACGAGUCAAUGUGUGUUUAACCUCUCUGUCAUAAAUCCAGGGAUUUUCAGGUCUGGGGGGAGCACCAGGACGAGCAGGUCCCCCAGGUGCUCAGGUAUGUCCAACAAUAAAUGUCGCUCACCUAUCAUUGCUGGACCUGCACAUUCUGUCACCCUCCUCAACCUACCCAUUCUUACCCUUUA
rnacentral:lncRNA from 1 species